rnacentral:rRNA from 1 species
UAGGGAAUCUUCGGCAAUGGACGAAAGUCUGACCGAGCAACGCCGCGUGAGUGAAGAAGGUUUUCGGAUCGUAAAACUCUGUUGUUAGAGAAGAACAAGGACGUUAGUAACUGAACGUCCCCUGACGGUAUCUAACCAGAAAGCCACGGCUAACUACGUGCCAGCAGCCGCGGUAAUACGUAGGUGGCAAGCGUUGUCCGGAUUCAUUGGGCGUAAAGCGAGCGCAGGCGGUUUCUUAAGUCUGAUGUGAAAGCCCCCGGCUCAACCGGGGAGGGUCAUUGGAACCUGGUAGACUUGAGUGCAGAAGAGGAGAGUGGAAUUCCAUGUGUAGCGGUGAAAUGCGUAGAUAUAUGGAGGAACACCAGUGGCGAAGGCGGCUCUCUGGUCUGUAACUGACGCUGAGGCUCGAAAGCGUGGGGAGCAAACAGG